rnacentral:rRNA from 1 species
GCUUACGGCCAUACCACCCUGAGCACGCCCGAUCUCGUCUGAUCUCGGAAGCUAAGCAGGGUUGGGCUUGGUUAGUACUUGAAUGGGAGACCGUCUGGGAAUACCAGGUGCUGUGAGCU